rnacentral:lncRNA from 1 species
ACAAUCCCAACAAGGACUGCUGUUGAGACGCAGUGCACACGGACAAGAAACUACCUGGAAAAAGAAAACUAGCUAGCAUCACAAACUGAUAGUAAUAGCUUAUUUUGCUCGAUUAUUUAGAGAAACUACAAAUAAAACACAUCAUUCUGGAAGACAAUUGUCUAAGAAAAUUAUGGCAUCUAAGCGAUUAUCAGCAAGUGCUUCCAAAAUGCAAAUAAAACAAAUCAUUUUGAGUGCCAAUCUAAGAAAUUUUUUAUAAAUCUCAACAUUUAAUCAUAUUGUAUCUUUUCUGCAUUUUGGCUGCAGCCAUUCUUACAAGAAAAUCUUCCUCAAAUGUGAUUUGAAACUUUUAACAGGAAAAAGCAGAAUUGAAAAACUUCUUAACCUGUUUCCUUCUUUCCAAGAUGAUAUGAAUUGUUUCUUUUAGUAGCAAGGGAUCUCCAUCAGGGCCAGCAAUAUCAUCGAGCAAAACAUCUCCAGCAUCAUACCUGGAUAUUGGAACAAGGAGAAAGAUGAAAAAAAGUAAGCUAACACACAAUCAUCGGGAUGUGAGGAUGAAGUCAUCGUCCUAUUUAUAAGCGACUAAAACAAAAAGCCACUAGGAAAUGAGUGACAAACUAGUUCGGAGAAAAGGGAGGUUAAAGA